UUAUCUUUGAGUGAUACUGAUCACCAAUGUUUAUUUUAGAGACAUGCAUUCUGAUCUGACAUUCAGGUAUUAUAAAAUCAGUUGUGCGAUCAGGUCCUGUUAUCUUGAGGUUUUUGCAUGUGAUUUCCCUUCUGUCCUUCUGCCCAUGUAAUAACACCAUGGCAGUCCCAUGCAGAAUUUUACUGGAAUUAAGAUUUAUCUUGUAGUGGCUUGGUUCAAGAUGUUGCAGAUAUAUUACCUGGAGGGUUCCUUUGGUUCAUGAUCCAGUGCUCUUCUUUGAAAUUUGGAGGUAUUUUUCAUGCUCUGCCGUUUCUAUUGUGCAUUCUACACCAUGAGUGUUUCUGCUAUUGCAGAGUAACCAGAGGAUCAACAGCUCAGGCAUCACGUGUUACUUGUAUACUUGUUACUUGUAUGAUGAGUAUUCUUUGUACUGGGGUAGAAAAGCAUCAUUAACAGCUAAGGUUGCUGCCAAUAUCAAGUUGAUAUAAAGAACCAAGUUCUUGGGAGUAUACCGUUUUGCAGUGCUUUUAGUUUGAAUCCAGCGGCUGUAUCAAGGUUUGUUUUCAAAGCUAUUAAAAUUUGGAUCACAUUUCCUUGAAAUCUUCUUGUUGUAACAAGGAAGCUGGGAGUAGCAGAGGUUCACUGAAAUCUGCUAACUGUUCAAACUAUUAGUUCAGAGAAUCUCUCUGCCAGGUGACCUGUACAGAGGUCAAGAUAAAUUAGCAGUGUCUCGCUCCCUCCUUCGGACAUGGCAGCAUAGCAUUACUGGUUUCUUUUGAAUUUGACGAUUAUCAUCCAAGGUAUCAACCUUUUAAAUCCUUCAUGAGCUCUUCUAGUCUUGUUAAUAUAAAAGACCAAAUUAUGUUUUAGUUAAUCCAAUCCUAUGUACAUAUGGAGAAAGAGGAGGUAGAAAUAAGUACAUUAAUUACAUGAAAAUGUUGAAAUCAAGUUAUAAACUAGGACAUAUUGUGAGUGAUACUCGGCAGUUGAGAAUAGUUUUACCUUGAAUCUGUACCAAAAGAUAGAACCGCUCUCUAAUUAUUUACUAAUAUACUAAUAUUGCACUCUUUGGCUGACACCAUAAAGGACUUUUUCUUGAUGUUAGAAUUUUAUUAUAAAACAUACAUAAUAUAUAUUUGAAAAUUUACUUUCGUGGUCUCCUAUUUUUUGCUAGAAAUGAAGAGUUAAAAGAGGUGGUCUUGGAAACUUCAUUUAAUUCAGGAACGGAAUAGGAAUAGGAAUAGUUAAGACUGACUUUUGAUGUUUUUAAGACUUAUUCUAGGUGGAAAAGGAAAAUAGAAAUCUAGGUCUGCUGCUGUGAUGUUUUGCUUACCAAGGAAAAGGCGACUAGUAUUUGUCAGUACCCAAUCCAGGGACAGGUAAUUCCAGGAUUGUUCUCUUAAUUUCCCUUCUACUUUUGUCGUAUUUGUACGCAGUUUAGAUUGCAAGGCUGCCUUAUUCCGUUGGAUUACCACAUGCUCUUUGCUAAAAUUUAUAUCAAUGAUAUCGUUGUGAAGAAGGUGAGCGUCGGAUUGGAUUUUCGGCAGGCUUUUUCAAUGUUUACACUUAAUGUGAAUAUUGUGGUCUGAAACACAUAAGCACGUACCCAUCGUUAUCAACCUUAUCCGUAUUUCCCAAUUCUCAAUAAAAGAAUAAGAAAAAAAACCCAUUCUUCCACAUGAUUAUUUUCUGUCAGUCCAGGUUCCCCAUUCCUGAUUUGUGGUGCUUCCCAUCAAGUGAUAAAUCGAACCAAAAAUUUCUACACCAAACUCGAGUAUUCACUUCCCUUGCCUUAUUUCUCUUUGGUUUUUGUUUAUAUCAAUUAUGGUUUAUAUGUAUGAAAUCUACAAACUCAAAUGUUGCAGCGGAUUAAACAUUUCUCUUUGUAGUUAAAACAGUGAAUAAAACCGGUCACAC
rnacentral:sRNA from 10 species